ACGAUGAUCCCAGCUUGCUGGGGGAUUAGUGGCGAACGGGUGAGUAACACGUGAGUAACCUGCCCUUGACUCUGGGAUAAGCCUGGGAAACUGGGUCUAAUACCGGAUAUGACCGUCUGACGCAUGUCAGGUGGUGGAAAGCUUUUGUGGUUUUGGAUGGACUCGCGGCCUAUCAGCUUGUUGGUGGGGUAAUGGCCUACCAAGGCGACGACGGGUAGCCGGCCUGAGAGGGUGACCGGCCACACUGGGACUGAGACACGGCCCAGACUCCUACGGGAGGCAGCAGUGGGGAAUAUUGCACAAUGGGCGCAAGCCUGAUGCAGCGACGCCGCGUGAGGGAUGACGGCCUUCGGGUUGUAAACCUCUUUCAGUAGGGAAGAAGCGAAAGUGACGGUACCUGCAGAAGAAGCGCCGGCUAACUACGUGCCAGCAGCCGCGGUAAUACGUAGGGCGCAAGCGUUAUCCGGAAUUAUUGGGCGUAAAGAGCUCGUAGGCGGUUUGUCGCGUCUGCUGUGAAAGACCGGGGCUCAACUCCGGUUCUGCAGUGGGUACGGGCAGACUAGAGUGCAGUAGGGGAGACUGGAAUUCCUGGUGUAGCGGUGAAAUGCGCAGAUAUCAGGAGGAACACCGAUGGCGAAGGCAGGUCUCUGGGCUGUAACUGACGCUGAGGAGCGAAAGCAUGGGGAGCGAACAGGAUUAGAUACCCUGGUAGUCCAUGCC
rnacentral:rRNA from 1 species